rnacentral:misc_RNA from 1 species
GAUGAAGAACGUAGCGAAAUGCGAUAAGUAGGGUGAAUUGCAGAAUUCAGUGAAUCAUCGAAUCUUUGAACGCACAUUGCGCCCCCUGGUAUUCCGGGGGGCAUGCCUGUCCGAGCGUCAUUACAACCCUCAAGCUCAGCUUGGUGUUGGGCCCCGCCGCCCCGGCGGGCCCUAAAGUCAGUGGCGGUGCCGUCCGGCUCCGAGCGUAGUAAUUCUUCUCGCUCUGGAGGUCCGGUCGUGUGCUCGCCAGCAACCCCCAAUUUUUUUCAGGUUGACCUCGGAUCAGGUAGGGAUACCCGCUGAACUUAAGCAUAUCAAUAAGCGGAGGA